rnacentral:rRNA from 1 species
GAUGAACGCUGGCGGCGUGCCUAAUACAUGCAAGUAGAACGCUGAAGGAGGAGCUUGCUCUUCUGGAUGAGUUGCGAACGGGUGAGUAACGCGUAGGUAACCUGCCUGGUAGCGGGGGAUAACUAUUGGAAACGAUAGCUAAUACCGCAUGACAACAGUUAUUGCAUGAUAACUGUUUAAAAGGGGCAACUGCUCCACUACCAGAUGGACCUGCGUUGUAUUAGCUAGUUGGUGAGGUAACGGCUCACCAAGGCGACGAUACAUAGCCGACCUGAGAGGGGGAUCGGCCACACUGGGACUGAGACACGGCCCAGACUCCUACGGGAGGCAGCAGUAGGGAAUCUUCGGCAAUAGACGGAAGUCUGACCGAGCAACGCCGCGUGAGUGAAGAAGGGUUUCGGAUCGUAAAGCUCUGUUGUAAGAGAAGAACGAGUGUGAGAGUGGAAAGUGCACACUGUGACGGUAUCUUACCAGAAAGGGACGGCUAACUACGUG